UACGUAGGCAGCGAGCGUUGUUCGGAAUUACUGGGCGUAAAGAGUGUGUAGGCGGUGUUCCCAGUCUGUUGUGAAAUCUCCCGGCUUAACUGGGAGGGUGCAGCGGAAACUAGAAUGCUAGAGGGUGGGAGAGGUAAGCGGAAUUCCUGGUGUAGCGGUGGAAUGCGCAGAUAUCAGGAGGAACACCGGUGGCGAAGGCGGGUCUCUGGGCCGUUACUGACGCUGAGGAGCGAAAGCGUGGGGAGCGAACAGG
rnacentral:rRNA from 1 species